GACGAAGGGGGCUAGCGUUGUUCGGAAUUACUGGGCGUAAAGCGCGUGUAGGCGGUUGCCCAAGUCGGGUGUGAAAGCCUUGAGCUCAACUCAAGAAAUGCACUCGGUACUGGGUGACUAGAGGACCGGGGAGGAUAGUGGAAUUCCCAGUGUAGUGGUGAAAUACGUAGAGAUUGGGAAGAACACCAGUGGCGAAGGCGGCUAUCUGGACGGUUUCUGACGCUAAGACGCGAAAGCGUGGGGAGCAAACAGG
rnacentral:rRNA from 1 species